UGAUGUAAUCCCUAGAUACGUGGAAUGUGGUGUUUCCAGUGUGUUCUAGUAUAUUCCAGCAUAUCCAUAGUAUUCUGUAUCCAUAGUGUUGUAGUUAACAACAUAUCCCAUAUAUGGAGAUAACUCAGGCAACGAUUUGUUAGCGUGCGCGUUGCAUAGAGCUUGUAUCCCUGGACCCUGUAUCCCUGGAAGCAUAUAUGCUAUAUAAGAUGGUGUGUUGCUACAAUAAAAUUGGAUGCAUCUCAUAUUGACUUGAUCGUGCGUUCCCCACGCGAGUACCGGUAGGGCAACCCUUUGGGGAUACCGGGGCGUUCCCCAACACUGAAUCUAGAGAUAUAACCAGAAUUUUUGGUAACUACUCCAGGACUCUGUAAAUGUAAAACUAAAAUAGAAAUAGAGGAAAAGCAGCUUGAUAUAUAAUAUUUUCUGUAGUUGCAAUGCGUUUUCUAAUAUUUUAUAAUUAUGAUAAGGGAUUAAAGAUGUUGGAUGAAAAAUCUGCUGAAUAUGUGAAUGGACAUGGGAUUCUGAGCUGAUGGGAAAAUUAAUCUCUGUGAUACAUGAAAGACGGUAGACUGGGAACAGGCUGUGAAACUGAGAACAGGUAAGUAGUGGUUGACCUGAGAGACAAAGAGACAUGAAAUAAAAUGGUAAGCCAAGAAGAUCUGCAAAGCAAUACUAUGAAUGGAAAUGAGGGAGAAAAUGAUGUAUUUUUCAAAAUGGGGAAAACAAAGUUGCAUUUAUAAGGAUGAGGAGAGGUUCCAAUUCUAGUUAACUUUCUGGGGAUCUAAUCCUUUAAAUAAGCCUUAGACGUUCUGCUUUGAAUGGAGUUUUAAAUUUCAGAAAGUAUCCAUGCCAUAUAAUAUCAAGCAUUCUUUUGAAUCUUUCAUGAAUUCUUUUGGGAAGAAUUUAAAUCUGUAAAUAGGUGUUCACAUGUUCCUUACAGAGUUUGGAUCUGCUGCCAUAGGUUAUUCAGAACUUUUAGAGUAAAGCUAAUUUUUGCCCCAAGAUUUGUAGCAGUUUUCAGGAAAUGAGCUCCUCUCUGUUCCUUUUUCAGAGAGCUGAAGUUUCUGACUUGAAAAAGAUGGCUGACAAUAACUGGAUUGAUUGGAUUCCAUCCGUAUGUUUACUGAGGCGUGUUAAAAACAUGACACAUAAGAAUUAAAAAAUAAAAGUCAGUUGAAAGAACAAGGAAGCAUUUUUUGGGAGAUUAUACAAAUAUUUUCUUGCUACUGGAACUCAGAUCAAUGAAUUCACUAACUGAAAAAAUGCUCCUCUUGAAUUCUCAGAAAUGGGUAGUGCUAAUUUAGAGUCAUGAGCCUAUCAAAGAGGGCGUGGUAUGAUUUGCUUUAACAUAGAUCUUUAAGAAAGCUGAUAGCUGUAAAGUUAAACUUAGUACAUCUGAGAUUUUGGGGAAAAUUCAAUUACUUUUCCCACAGCUUCUUUGUUUUAUUGUGUUAGUGCAACUUACAAAAGAACAAAAAGUUCUAAAUUGCAUUUCUUUUGUACUUUGGCAAGAGAAUGGUGCUCCUGUGCAAAUGCACUGGUCUUUCUGCUAACGUACAUGGUUCUGGCACUGGGAAUUAGCUAGACACAUCAAUCACAUUAAUUGCUGAGCUGCUAAUGGCUUCAUAAUGCAGUGUUCUAUUAAUGCUGAUAAAUUGUCAUGUGCUCAUUAACAGUAAUUUUUCACCAGAGAGUAGAACCUAAUACGGUAUCAGGAGGCUGUAAAAAGUUCUGAUAUUCCUUAAUAUAUUAUUAUUGGGAAAAAAAUCAAAUUGUGGCAAACUACAUUAAAACUGUUCAUAGUUUGAGUUUAUUUUUGCAUUUUCCUAAGACUAUAUAAUUUAAAUCUAGUAUUUGCUGAAUAGAACAACAGAAUCUUUAGCACUAAAGAACAGCAACUGAACUGAAUAAAAUAAAAUAAAUAAAAUAAAAUAAAAUAAAAUUAGCAUUGUGAAAAGAAAUCUUCAAGUGGAGAUGUUUGACUGAAAAGUCAUCCAUUUUAUGUCCAGUAAAGCAAUUUCCUUUAAAAAAAACCACCUGUCCUAUAUCAGCUAAGAUUACAAAAAAUGAAAUCAUAAAAUUUAAGUUUUUUGUUAAAUAUUAUAGCAGUGGUGUUUGCUCAUGAUAUGACAUUUAGUGAUAAUUUAGCAGCCAUUAUUGCUAUAGUUAACUUCCCAUGCAGUAGUCUUCAAUUCCCAUAGCUUUUCAUUAUUUCAUAUAGUAUCAGUAAGGCUGUAUUCAAUCAGAAAUCUUGCUAUAUUUGAAAGAAAAUAGCAAUAUUUUUGAAUGGCAACUUAAUCAGGUAAAGGAAAAUUAUAUUUUAUCUGAACAUAUGUGUUAAAUAUGAAAUUCCAUGCAACAUCUAAAAGAAAAAUAAUCUCGAUCUCUUUGUGAAUUUCCAAUUGCUAUGAAACAGACAGCUUUGUUAACCCUGGAGGCUGCCAUUUGCUACUAUAAAGAAGAAAUACAGUUUCAUGGGCUUAUUGCCAAACAGGAAGCUAUGAUUUGUUUAAUGAUCAAAAGAGUGUUUAAUGCUACACAAACACAUUAAUUUUAAAAGAUGAGGUACUACUCCAGACUUGAAGAACUGAUGGUUUAUAUCACCUAAGAGAAAAAAAAAAAUCAACAAAACAAUCCUUGAGGAUAUCCAGAACUAGAAGAAGAUGAAAAGGUAUAAAUAAUACUGCAAAAUUAUGUUUAAAUAUAAUCAGAUGAUGUUUACUUGUGCAUGAGAUCUUAAUGGUUCUGUUGAAUAUGUGGAUGAAUGAAAAUAGGCAUGGAAGUCAACCCUUAGGUUGUGGUUAUCCUCAGAAGACAUACAACAGGACUCUCAGUUCAAAUAUUUCUCAGUUUAUAUGUUCCUUAAACAUAAACAGACAUGGAAUUCAAUAUAUUUUUAAAGUAUUCAAGAUAAACAACCACUAAUGUUAACAUUUCUAAUCUGGAAACACGCACAAAGAAUAUUUAUCUUCUCUUCCUCCCUUUUCAUCAUCCUAUUUGCAGCGUGGCUACCUUUAAAGUUAUUAUUUCUUCUUAUAUGUAUUCUUGUAAAUGAGUAUUUUUUUUUUCUGUGUUAAUAGAUUGGAAGUAGCUUAAAGGUAUGAAUAAAAUGGCUCACGGUAAUUAGAUUACUUCAUUUUGUAGAGGAAAACAUAUCCUGCAUACAAAUACGUUCAAUCCUUUUUGUAGAGAUCCCAGUUUUAUGAAACUAAAAAUGUUCUGAAAUAGCCAUGAGCUCUAGAAGAACUGACUACACAUUCACUAUAAGCAAAACUAUCAUUCAGUGUACUGUUAGAUUUUCCACUAUGGCUGUAGAAAAUCUCUGGUUGUUUUUACAACCUAUCAUGUACCACAAACUAGCUAUUUCAUUUAUCCUUGGCAGACAUGGUUAAACUGUUUCGCAGGGUGGAAAAAAAUGGAGAGAGAAUGCAUAUGUAGUCAGGUGGUGUAGUCCAUGAGUAUUAGUUUACUAUUAAGACUCUACAGAUUUAAAUUUCAAAGAUUCAGUUGCUCUUAAAGAAGAAAGCCUCCCACUGUUCAGUUAGCUAGGAAUUUAUCUACUUGGUUUGAUUGUACAAUGGGAAGUCUAGCUGUCAGCAGUUUAUGGGCUGGUUUGGCCCGGUUCCAUGACUAAUGGGGUGGGCGGACCCACAUGCCCACUCCCCAGGAAAGAGGACAAGGGAAAAGGGGAAAGGGUAGGGAGAUGGGCCUAAAAACAAAAUAGCAGCAACGAUCUGAGAAGGAAAGCUAAUUUACUAAAAAACAUAUCAGAAUGCAAGAUAACACAAUAUAAUACAAUAUAAUACAAUAUAAUACAAUAUAAUUGGAAUUGAAGCUCAUAAAGCAAAUAAAAUGAGAGUGUCCAAAAACCAAAGGCCUUAAUCUAAUGCUGAACAUGAGACGCUGCCGAGACGAGCAGAAGGGAAAAGAGAGAGUGUCUCGUGAUCUGCAAACAGUUCUAUCUUUCUCUCUGAACAGAAAAUGGAAACAGAACAAUGCAAAGUCCUCAGGGAGAUGUAGCUCUUCUUCUCUUCUAUCGAUGAUCCACAGAACUGGAGCAUUAACUCUUUAAUUCCCCAUGCACUGCAUGAUGUUAUGAUGUGGAAUACUGAUAACAAAAAUCAUAAAACCAUGACAUUAGCUGCUAGACCUUCAAGGAUCCUUCACGAAGAGAUGAUUUCAGCUGCCAUUAGCUAAACAGUUCUUUCUCUCAGUAGUGGAAAACCUGAUCUUUUUUUUCAUAGAACUGCUCAUUCCUGGCAUCCUAAAUCAUUUUUUUUAAGGAGAGGGUAUACAUACAUUUCAAUGAUUAACUGGCAGUGCUUAGCUUUUCAACACACUAAAUGCAGGACAAGAGGGCCUGUAAGUUGUUCCAUACUAGCUAUAUUUUCACAGAAAUGUCCUGCAGAACAUGAAAAAUCUUAAAUUUCAAAGGUCAUAUCUAUGUUGAUAGUGUCUUUGCCUUUUUUUUGGAAUUAAUAGCAUUUUUUUUUUACAAAAUCAGCCAGUCACAAGUGAAAGCCAACCCACUGCUAAAUAACGGGCAUUUCUAUUACAAGCUGUUCUAUAUGUUUUCAGGUAUUCAGAAGUUAAAUUUCUCAUAUUGGUUGUAUUUCAGUUAAUGAUUUGGAGAAAAAUAAUUGCAUGCCUACUUUUUUAAUCAGUUCCUUAUUGUUCCAAACUGUUGUUUUCUGUGGAAAUAUAGGAAUGACAUGUACCAGAUACAUUUGUAUUUUAUUACCACUUCAGGAGAACACAAGUGUUUGUCUAGAGUGUACACUUCAUACUAUAUUUGAAAGAUUUCAUUGGUCACAAAAGCCAAGAAAUAUUCCUUUGAGAGGCUACAGUGGAAAAAAUCUAAUAUAAAACAUUUACUACUGUCAUCCUUGUACUCACAGAUCCAGAAUUUCAGCUGGUAUCAUCUGGCAUAGCUCCACUGAUGCCAGAGAAGCUCUGCCAACUCUGUGCAUUCCACUGUUCUCAUUCAUUUCAACAACUCUGCAUGCUGAGUAAGAAUCAGACAGAAUAUUUUGCUUUUAUGUGUAGAGAUAAUCUAAAACUGACUUAAAAUACUACUGACUCACUGGUGUGAGUUAAUAGACCAAAAGUAUCGCCAAAACUUAAGUUUAAAUUGAUAAUAGAUGAAGCAGAACAUGGAAGUAAUUAUAUCUUUCAGUUACAGUGAAUGAGAUCAGAAUUUUGUUAAGACUGGUAAAUGCUGUAUACCUGAUGUGUAAAAUAAGAUUCAACAACAAUGAAAAUGUAAAUCAUAAUCUCUCUCUAAAAAAAAGUAUAUCAAUUUAGCUAUAAGUAAAUAAAUAUAUAAAUAAUUAAAUCAAUGUUAAAAUCUGUUGAUAGAUAAAAUGAUAGAAAGAAAAUUAGAAAUUAAAAUUAAUGAUUAAUCUGCUAAACGAUAUAGCUGAAUUUUAUCUGUUUAUGGCUGAACUAUAUUUAUACUUGCUGAAAAACUUCUUUGCAGAGGAGGAAUACAGUUCCUGGUAAUGUUUGCUGAAAAUGCAUUGAAACCAUUCCAGGUUUGCUGAAGUUAAUGAAUGAGUCCCCAGAUAGGUUAAUGAUUUACAAAUCUUUGACAAAAAAAAAUGUCCUAAAUUACAGACUUGUCAAGUAUGUUUUAUGGCGGAGCUUGUGGUAGUAUAACAGAUUGUCUUGUUUAUUCCUAUAUUUAUGCAUUAUUCAUUAUGUUUGUUUCUAUUAAGAUGUAUUUAUCACUAUCUAUCACUCUGUAUGUAAGACUCUAGUGCCUGUAUCAAAGCUCCUACUCUGAAAAUUAUCAGACAACAGGUGAUUUGUGUGCCUUAUAAUAUGAACCUAUCAAACAAGCAUGUAGACAAUGGUCUCUUUGUUGGAAAUGGAGGUAAGGUUUUGCUUGUACAAACUACGAGCUGUGUAAAUUUUUAAUGCAACACAAAAGAUGGAGUGUAUUGUCUAGUAUUAAUAAUAUAAUAAAAAAUCCUUUCAGUCUUCCACAAAUUGGCUGCACGUAGUAACAUGGAACUAGCUUCAUGUCUGUGUGGACAAGCAUUUCUAAUUCUAGCUUCUUGGGAGAUCUCUUCUCUGUAGUUAGCAGACUUUUCCUGAAUGUUACAUUUGACUUUUUUUUUAUUUAUAGGCAAUUGUCCUGUUCUGAGUUACAUCAGCAUGGACUACCAGUAUGAGUACAAAGGCAGAAGGCAUUUUACUAGAGGGCACAAGGGCAUGAGACUUGUUGAGCUUUUCUCUUGCUCUUCGUAGUAGUCUUCAAAGAGAAGCUGAGCUUGGAACAGCUUCCACAAUAUGUGAUUUUCCUUCUUCGUGGUGAACUUUCAGUUCUAUUUGGUUAUCACCUUUUUGCCAUUUCCAGUGGCACAUUUUCCAUUUUUGAGGAUAGUGCUAUUUUUUGAAGUCAAAAGCUCACAAAAAGAGUUCAAAUGUUCUGUCAUGAGGCUGAGAACAGGAUGGAAGUUGAAGAAAAUAACAAAAGUAAGUUGUUACAGAAACUAUUUCCUUACUUGUACCGAGACCCUUUCUAGCAGACUGAUCUAGGACUAGUAACUCUGUCCAUGUCUGAGAGGUUGGAAUGAGAUGAUUUUUAAGAUCCCUUGCAAACUAAGCCAUUCCAUGAUUCUAUGACUGUUGUAAUACUAAUUGAGGCAUAUUGGCUUCAGCUGCCUGGAGCUGAUUCCUGCUCAGAUCUAACACAUAUGCUAUGUUUUUUCUGUAGCCACUGAAGAACAAGCAAUAAACAAUAACCAGAUAUAUAAGGAUGUCUAAAGCUUUGUUCUUGCAGGCAUCUCAAUAGACAAGAGAGCAGGCAGGAGAUGCAAGUCGCGUGUCUGCACAUGUCACAUGAAGGUCCUCACACCUACAGAGGUGAUGAGCAGUAUGCGUAAAAAUCUGUUUCUUCAGUGGUUUUAUUUUCUUCUCAGGGAACAGUUGAGAUACAGAGAAAACAGAUGAGAGCUCCUUCAGGUCUGUCAGUCUGAAAGCUUUUCAGGCUGUGAAGCUGCUCCUGAACCUUGCAAAGGAGAGCUACUCUUUUCCUCUCUUGUGAGCUCAGUCUCAUUCACCCAAAACAUCUGGAGGAGACUUCUGGAUGUCCUUGUCUCAGCUAUUAGCUUGUUCUCUCAAGCAGAACUUCACUUAAAAACUUUAUUUUUGUGUGCAUGACUUCAUAUGUGAAGUCUACAGGGUCUGAAAAUGAGAGUACUUCCCUGUGUUAUCCUCAGGAUCCAUCUGACCUAGAGCAAAAAGACCAUAAAUAGUUACUAUUUUAGAUUCCAAUCCAUUAUUAUGUAGGUUGCUCUGACAGUAAUGUCUCUUAUCUAUUUCCAUUGAAACAGAUACAAAGAGCACAAUAACACUGAUAGAGAAAAUUCUCAGAUACAAAACACUAUUUUUCAGCAUAGUCAUCCUCAUUAGCUAUGCAUUUUCACCAAACAUAAACUAGAGCCUGCAUUCUGUACUUGUACAAAUCUACACCAGUGGAGGUGACCCACUGUUGCCACUGCUGAAACAUACCACCCACCACCUCACUGUGCUCGCAUUCAUUGUUUGGUCUCCAGAAAUAUUCAGAAAGUGACAAUGGAUGUCAGUGGGUGCCAUUUUUUCCACAUGGAGGAAAUCAAUGACACUCCUUUGCUUCAUCCACACUUCCAUGUCAUAUGUCAAUUUGUCAGACUGACCCUCUACUGCCAACUGUCACAACACAAUAAAAUGUAACGGGAUAUUCGUGAGAAGGAUCAACCUCUACUGCAUACAGUUAAAAAAAAAAACAAUCAACCAGUUAACUUCUCUAAUCCAGCUCAGCUGAUGAACAGGAAAUUCUGUUUGUCUUCCUUCUCCUUCCAUGCCUCUCUUCCUUAAGUUAUUUAACAUAUACAGAGAAAACCACGUACACAGAGGAUUUCUUAGCUUAGAGACAGAACUGAAAAAUACAUUUUCAUGAUUUAUUCUUUAAUGAAGAAUAAAACCAUUAGUAUUUUUAAUUUUAGUAUUUUUUUAUUUUAGUGCCUUAGAAAGCUUCUUUCUUUGUUCUACUAUCCUUGAAACUGAGAAUUUUACUAUGUGAAGGAAAAUAAAAUGCACCGAGAUUAAUUCUGA